GAGUUUGAUCCUGGCUCAAAAUCAACGCUGGCGGCGCGCUUAACACAUGCAAGUCGAACGAGAAAAUUCCCUUCGGGGAGUGAGUACAGUGGCGAACGGGUGAGUAACACGUGGGUUACCUGCCCUCGAGGGGGGAAUAACUCUGGGAAACCGGGGCUAACACCGCAUACGAUCCUUCGGGAUGAAAGUCUUCGGACGCUCGAGGAGGGGCUCGCGGCCGAUUAGCUUGUUGGCGGGGUAAUGGCCCACCAAGGCAAAGAUCGGUAGCCGGCCUGAGAGGGCGCACGGUCACACUGGCACUGAGACACGGGCCAGACUCCUACGGGAGGCAGCAGUGAGGAAUCUUGGACAAUGGGGGAAACCCUGAUCCAGCGACGCCGCGUGAGUGAUGAAGCCUUUCGGGGUGUAAAGCUCUUUCAGCGGGGACAAUCAUGAUGGUACCCGCACAAGCAGCUGCGGCUAACUACGUGCCAGCAGCCGCGGUAAUACGUAGGCAGCAAGCGUUGUUCGGAAUUACUGGGCGUAAAGCGAGUGUAGGCGGUCUGCCAAGUCUGUUGUGAAAUCUCCCGGCUCAACUGGGAGGGUGCGUCGGAAACUGGCAGGCUCGAGUGCGAGAGAGGAGAGUGGAAUUCCCGGAGUAGCGGUGAUAUGCGUAGAUACCGGGAGGAACACCAGAGGCGAAGGCGACUCUCUGGGCUGCACCUGACGCUGAGGCGCGAAAGCAUGGGGAGCGAACCGGAUUAGAUACCCUGGUAGUC
rnacentral:rRNA from 1 species